rnacentral:rRNA from 1 species
GAAACGACUGCUAAGACUGGAUAGGAGAUAAGAAGGCAUCUUCUUAUUUUUAAAAGACCUAGCAAUAGGUAUGCUUAGGGAAGAGCUUGCGUCACAUUAGUUAGUUGGUGGGGUAAUGGCCUACCAAGACGAUGAUGUGUAGCCGGGCUGAGAGGUCGAACGGCCACAUUGGGACUGAGACACGGCCCAAACUCCUACGGGAGGCAGCAGUAAGGAAUUUUCGGCAAUGGAGGAAACUCUGACCGAGCAAUGCCGCGUGAACGAUGAAGUAUUUCGGUACGUAAAGUUCUUUUAUUAGGGAAGAAAAGAUGGUGGAAAAACCAUUAUGACGGUACCUAAUGAAUAAGCCCCGGCUAACUAUGUGCCAGCAGCCGCGGUAAUACAUAGGGGGCAAGCGUUAUCCGGAAUUAUUGGGCGUAAAGGGUGCGUAGGCGGUUAAAUAAGUUUAUGGUCUAAGUGCAACGCUCAACGUUGUGAUGCUAUAAAAGCUGUUUAGCUAGAGUUGGAUAGAGGCAAGUGGAAUUCCGUGUGUAGUGGUAAAAUGCGUAAAUAUACGGAGGAACACCAGAAGCGAAGGCGGCUUGCUGGGUCUUAACUGACGCUGAGGCACGAAAGCGUGGGGAGCAAACAGGAUUAGAUACCCUGGUAGUCCACGCCCUAAACGAUGAGUACUAAACGUUGGAUAAAACCAGUGUUGAAGUUAACACAUUAAGUACUCCGCCUGAGUAGUACGUACGCAAGUAUGAAACUUAAAGGAAUUGACGGGACUCCGCACAAGCGGUGGAUCAUGUUGUUUAAUUCGAAGGUACCCGAAAAACCUCACCAGGUCUUGACAUGCUUUUGCAAAGCUGUAGAAAUACAGUGGAGGUUAUCAGAAGCACAGGUGGUGCAUGGUUGUCGUCAGCUCGUGUCGUGAGAUGUUGGGUUAAGUCCCGCAACGAGCGCAACCCUUGUUGUUAAUUGCCAUCAUUAAGUUGGGGACUUUAGCAAGACUGCCAAUGAUAAAUUGGAGGAAGGUGGGGACGACGUCAAAUCAUCAUGCCCCUUAUGACCUGGGCUACAAACGUGAUACAAUGGCUGUUACAAAGGGUAGCUAAAGCGUAAGCUUCUGGCGAAUCUCAAAAAAGCAGUCUCAGUUCGGAUUGAAGUCUGCAACUCGACUUCAUGAAGUUGGAAUCGCUAGUAAUCGCGAAUCAGCAUGUCGCGGUGAAUACGUUCUCGGGGUUUGUACACACCGCCCGUCA